rnacentral:rRNA from 1 species
GACAGAGGGUGCAAACGUUGUUCGGAAUUACUGGGCGUAAAGCGCGUGUAGGCGGCUUGGCAAGUCGGGUGUGAAAGCCCUGGGCUUAACCUAGGAAGUGCACUCGAAACUGCCGAGCUUGAGUUCUGGAGAGGAAGGCGGAAUUCUCGGUGUAGAGGUGAAAUUCGUAGAUAUCGAGAGGAACACCGGUGGCGAAGGCGGCCUUCUGGACAGCAACUGACGCUGAGACGCGAAAGCGUGGGGAGCAAACAG